AGAACCUGAAACCGGAUGCAUACAAACAGUGGGAGCGGACUUGUUCCGUGACUGCGUACCUUUUGUAUAAUGGGUCAGCGACUUACGUUCAGUAGCAAGCUUAACCGAAUAGGGGAGGCGUAGGGAAACCGAGUCCGAAUAGGGCGAUUGAGUUGCUGGGCGUAGACCCGAAACCGAGUGAUCUAUCCAUGGCCAGGAUGAAGGUGCGGUAACACGCACUGGAGGUCCGAACCCACUAGUGUUGCAAAACUAGGGGAUGAGCUGUGGAUAGGGGUGAAAGGCUAAACAAACUCGGA
rnacentral:rRNA from 1 species